UGGGGCCACCGGUCGCCCCCGCCUCCGGGACCUGCGGGGAGGGCCCGCGAGAGAUGGAGACGAGAGAUCUGGACUUCUGAACAUCUACCGGAAAAGAUAAAAUGUGCAAGCCCUUCAGAACGCUGGGGAGGUUGGGCUGAACUGCAGUGGGAGAGGAGAAGAGAUGCUGGCGUGAAGGGGAUUGAUUGCUGAUUACCAUGGAGAAGCAGGCAAGGGAUUAUGAAGAGAAAGACAGGAGGGAUAUCUUAAAAGCUUUCAUUGUGGUCUGAUGGGAGCAGAUCUGGACCAAGGCACAUGGGGAUCCUAAGAGGACUAAUUCAUUUGGUGACACUUCUUUUUCUUUGAAUUUAUUUUGCAAGAGCUGAACAACAACAAAAAUGAUACUCUCGCCAGGU
rnacentral:lncRNA from 10 species